rnacentral:rRNA from 1 species
GGGCAUUUGCGGCAGCUACCAUGCAAGUCGAGCGGCAGCACGGGAAGCUUGCUUCCUGGUGGCGAGCGGCGGACGGGUGAGUAAUGCAUAGGAAUCUGCCCGAUAGUGGGGGAUAACCUGGGGAAACCCAGGCUAAUACCGCAUACGUCCUACGGGAGAAAGCAGGGGCUCUUCGGACCUUGCGCUAUCGGAUGAGCCUAUGUCGGAUUAGCUGGUUGGUGAGGUAAUGGCUCACCAAGGCGACGAUCCGUAGCUGGUCUGAGAGGAUGAUCAGCCACAUCGGGACUGAGACACGGCCCGAACUCCUACGGGAGGCAGCAGUGGGGAAUAUUGGACAAUGGGCGCAAGCCUGAUCCAGCCAUGCCGCGUGUGUGAAGAAGGCCCUCGGGUUGUAAAGCACUUUCAGUGGGGAAGAAAGCCUUGGGGCUAAUACCCUCGAGGAAGGACAUCACCCACAGAAGAAGCACCGGCUAACUCCGUGCCAGCAGCCGCGGUAAUACGGAGGGUGCGAGCGUUAAUCGGAAUUACUGGGCGUAAAGCGCGCGUAGGUGGCUUGAUAAGCCGGUUGUGAAAGCCCCGGGCUCAACCUGGGAACGGCAUCCGGAACUGUCAGGCUAGAGUGCAGGAGAGGAAGGUAGAAUUCCCGGUGUAGCGGUGAAAUGCGUAGAGAUCGGGAGGAAUACCAGUGGCGAAGGCGGCCUUCUGGACUGACACUGACACUGAGGUGCGAAAGCGUGGGUAGCAAACAGGAUUAGAUACCCUGGUAGUCCACGCCGUAAACGAUGUCGACUAGCCGUUGGGAGCCUCGAGUUCUUAGUGGCGCAGUUAACGCGAUAAGUCGACCGCCUGGGGAGUACGGCCGCAAGGUUAAAACUCAAAUGAAUUGACGGGGGCCCGCACAAGCGGUGGAGCAUGUGGUUUAAUUCGAUGCAACGCGAAGAACCUUACCUACCCUUGACAUCGUGCGAACUUGGUAGAGAUACCUUGGUGCCUUCGGGAACGCACAGACAGGUGCUGCAUGGCUGUCGUCAGCUCGUGUUGUGAAAUGUUGGGUUAAGUCCCGUAACGAGCGCAACCCUUGUCCCUAUUUGCCAGCGAUUCGGUCGGGAACUCUAGGGAGACUGCCGGUGACAAACCGGAGGAAGGUGGGGACGACGUCAAGUCAUCAUGGCCCUUACGGGUAGGGCUACACACGUGCUACAAUGGUCGGUACAAAGGGUUGCAAAGCGGCGACGUGGAGCUAAUCCCAGAAAGCUGAUCUCAGUCCGGAUCGGAGUCUGCAACUCGACUCCGUGAAGUCGGAAUCGCUAGUAAUCGUGAAUCAGAAUGUCACGGUGAAUACGUUCCCGGGCCUUGUACACACCGCCCGUCACACCAUGGGAGUGGACUGCACCAGAAGUGGUUAGCCUAACUUCGGAGGGCGAUCACCACGGUGUGUGCAGAAGG